UACGACUACAUAUCAGGCAUAUCAAUAAGCGGAGGAAAAGAAACUAACAAGGAUUCCCCUAGUAACGGCGAGUGAAGCGGGAAGAGCUCAAAUUUGAAAUCUUAAAGGGUUUCCCUUUACGAAUUGUAGUUUAAAGAAGUGUUUUCUGUUGGAGUUUCGGUAAAAGUUCUUUGGAAUAGGACAUCAUAGAGGGUGAGAAUCCCGUAUUUGACCGUUACUUUCCAGCUGUGUGAUACACUUUCAAAGAGUCGGAUUGUUUGGGAAUGCAGUCCAAGAUGGGUGGUAAAUUUCAUCUAAAGCUAAAUAUUGGCGAGAGACCGAUAGCGAACAAGUACCGUGAGGGAAAGAUGAAAAGAACUUUGAAAAGAGAGUUAAACAGUACGUGAAAUUGUCAAAAGGGAAGCGUUUGACACCAGUGUUGUUUAGUUGAAAAUCAAUUCAAUAGUUUUUGAUUCUAAGUAGUAUUGACUUCAUCAGCUUGCUGCUUUCUUCUCAGAAAUUAUUGAAUGCACUUUUCAGUUAACAAGUCAACAUCAAUUUCUUUGUUGUAAAAGGGUAAGAGGAAGGUGGCUUGCGCUUCGGCUCAAGUGUUUAUAGCCUUUUAUCUCUGCAAUCGGAGAGAUUGAGGUCUGCAGCGUAGAUCCUUCGGGGUUAGAUACAUUUGUGCUAAGUUAGUAGCUUUGUAUAGACAACUUGUUGACUAUAGCUCAGUCAUGUAGGCUUACUCGCUUAUGUCUAUUUUACCUACGCUUAGGAUGUUGAGUAGCGACAUACGCAC
rnacentral:rRNA from 1 species